rnacentral:rRNA from 1 species
CCUCCAAGGCUAAAUACUCGUAAUCGACCGAUAGCGAACCAGUACUGUGAAGGAAAGGUGAAAAGAACCCCGGGAGGGGAGUGAAAUAGAUCCUGAAACCGCAUACAUACAAACAGUAGGAGCCUCGUUAAGGGGUGACUGCGUACCUUUUGCAUAAUGGGUCAGCGACUUACGUUUAAUGGCGAGCUUAACCGUAUAGGGGAGGCGCAGCGAAAGCGAGUUCGAACAGAGCGUUCAGUCGUUAGGCGUAGACCCGAAACCAGAUGAUCUAUCCAUGGCCAGGUUGAAGGUGUGGUAACACACACUGGAGGACCGAACCGACUAGUGUUGCAAAAUUAGCGGAUGAGUUGUGGAUAGGGGUGAAAGGCUAAACAAAUCUGGAGAUAGCUGGUUCUCCCCGAAAACUAUUGAGGUAGUGCCUCGUGUAUGACUCCAGGGGGUAGAGCACUGUUAUGGCUAGGGGGACAUGGCGUCUUACCAAACCAUGGCAAACUCCGAAUACUUGGAAGUUUGAGCACGGGAGACAGAGCACCGGGUGCUAACGUCCGGACUCAAGAGGGAAACAACCCAGACCGCCGGCUAAGGUCCCUAAUAUUGACUAAGUGGAAAACGAAGUGGAAAGGCUAAGACAGUCAGGAAGUUGGCUUAGAAGCAGCCAUCCUUCAAAGAAAGCGUAAUAGCUCACUGAUCGAGUCUUUCUGCGCGGAAGAUGUAACGGGGCUAAGUCAAUAACCGAAGCCGCGGAUUCACACUUAUGUGUGAGUGGUAGGGGAGCGUUCUGUAAGCCUGCGAAGGUGACUCGUAAGGGUUGCUGGAGGUAUCAGAAGUGCGAAUGCUGACAUAAGUAACGAUAAAGCGGGUGAAAAGCCCGCUCGCCGUAAGCCCAAGGUUUCCUGCUCUACGUUCAUCGGAGCAGGGUGAGUCGGCCCCUAAGGUGAGGCUGAGAAGCGUAACUGAUGGGAACAAGGUUAAUAUUCCUUGACCACCGCUGAAUGCGAAGGGGGGACGGAGUAUUGAAGAUCAUCCGGGUGUUGGAUAUCCCGGUUUGCGAGCGUAGGAGGCUGACAGGCAAAUCCGUCAGCGAAUCUCCGAGGCGAAGCAUCGAGCUCUCUUUUGAGCGAAGUGAUUGGAUGUGCUUCCAGGAAAAGCCUCUAAGCUCCAGUUCAGCGGGACCGUACCGCAAACCGACACUGGUGGGCGAGCUGAAUAUGCUCAGGCGCUUGAGAGAACUCAGGAGAAGGAACUCGGCAAAUUGACACCGUAACUUCGGGAUAAGGUGUGCCUUUGUAGCGUGGAGGGAGAAACACCCCGAGCGCGAAGAGGUCUCAGAUAAUCGGUGGCUGCGACUGUUUAUUAAAAACACAGCACUCUGCAAAGACGAAAGUCGACGUAUAGGGUGUGAUGCCUGCCCGGUGCUGGAAGAUUAAUUGAUGGGGUGCAAGCUCCUGAUCGAAGUCCCAGUAAACGGCGGCCGUAACUAUAACGGUCCUAAGGUAGCGAAAUUCCUUGUC